AUCCAUCUGACGAGUCCGAAAUAGGACGAAACGCGUGUCCUGGGU
rnacentral:hammerhead_ribozyme from 1 species